UACUGUUGGUGAUGAUUUCUAUAUUAAAACAAUGGGAAUCUCUCUGAAAGAGAAUGAGGAUUUUCUUUUUCUGAAACAGUA
rnacentral:snoRNA from 15 species